AUUGAACGCUGGCGGCAUGCUUUACACAUGCAAGUCGAACGGUAACAGGUUAAGCUGACGAGUGGCGAACGGGUGAGUAAUGCAUCGGAACGUGCCCGAUCGUGGGGGAUAACGCAGCGAAAGCUGCGCUAAUACCGCAUACGAUCUGAGGAUGAAAGCGGGGGACCGUAAGGCCCCGCGCGAUCGGAGCGGCCGAUGUCAGAUUAGGUAGUUGGUGGGGUAAAGGCUCACCAAGCCAACGAUCUGUAGCUGGUCUGAGAGGACGACCAGCCACACUGGGACUGAGACACGGCCCAGACUCCUACGGGAGGCAGCAGUGGGGAAUUUUGGACAAUGGGCGAAAGCCUGAUCCAGCAAUGCCGCGUGCAGGAAGAAGGCCUUCGGGUUGUAAACUGCUUUUGUACGGAGCGAAAAGGCUCUCUCUAAUACAGGGGGUUCAUGACGGUACCGUAAGAAUAAGCACCGGCUAACUACGUGCCAGCCGCCGCAGUAA
rnacentral:rRNA from 1 species